GGAGCGGAAGGAGAGGAAAAUUCCGCAGAAAGCGGCGGCUCCGGGGAACUGGGCGCGGGGCCGAGAGCGAGAUACACACUCACCCGCAUCGUGGAAACACCAGACAGAUCACCACCUUCUCAAGAGCCUUUAGGGAUGGGCAAUAAAUGCUGGCCCUGUCAA